GUCACCUUUAGGGUUAAUCACAGAAUACACAUUCAAGGGAGAAUGUGAGCCAUCUCCAGAAGGAGAGACAGCACACACAGUGUUAGAGAUCUGAACCCAGGUUAGGAUGACUCCAGGCUUAGGCUUCUGUUUCUGGGCUGUAAGGAAACCCAGAGAUCAUCUAAUACUUUUUUGUUAAGCAGUCUGAGCUCAAAUCCUGCAUAAGAAACUUGCUCUAGAUUGGGCAAGUCUUGGCAGAGCUAGGAUGGAACCUGGGCCUCUUUCUGAUUGGCAGUUUAUCUUACUGCCUACAGGAAGAAACUGGCAUAUAGACUGUCCUCAUUUGCACCCUCCUUCACUUUGCAUUCUUUCUGCUAUUUUCCUACAUGAUCCCUCCUGGUCUGCAUAUUCUUUCCUGUACUUACGCCCUCUUGAUCUCCCUUCCUUUUGGUCCUUUCCUUGAAGAGCUGCAACCUUCCUUUCUGUCUUUUGUAUCUUCUCCAUUUCUUCAAGCCAGGAGCAGGUUCACUCUCCCAGAUAAUGUCACAGACCAAAC
rnacentral:lncRNA from 1 species